UACGUAGGAUGCAAGCGUUGUCCGGAAUUAUUGGGCGUAAAGAGUUCGUAGGCGGUUGCCUAAGUCUGGUGUUAAAUACAGGAGCUCAACUCCUGCAUGGCAUUGGAAACUGGGCGGCUAGAGUGUGGUAGAGGUCACGGGAAUUCCAGGUGUAGCGGUGAAAUGCGUAGAUAUCUGGAGGAACACCAGUGGCGAAAGCGCGUGACUGGACCAUAACUGACGCUGAGGAACGAAGCCAGGGUAGCGAAAGGG
rnacentral:rRNA from 1 species